rnacentral:pre_miRNA from 1 species
AGCCCAUUGGAUUGAUCCGACACAAAAUAAUGAUGUGGGAUCCAUUCCAAUUGGCUCU